GACGAACGCUGGCGGCGUGCUUAACACAUGCAAGUCGAACGCUGAAGCUCAGCUUUUGUUGGGUGGAUGAGUGGCGAACGGGCGAGUAACACGUGAGUAACCUGCCCCCUUCUUUGGGAUAACGCCCGGAAACGGGUGCUAAUACUGGAUAUUCACUGGUCUUCGCAUGGGGGUUGGUGGAAAGGGUUUUUCUGGUGGGGGAUGGGCUCGCGGCCUAUCAGCUUGUUGGUGGGGUGAUGGCCUACCAAGGCUUUGACGGGUAGCCGGCCUGAGAGGGUGACCGGUCACAUUGGGACUGAGAUACGGCCCAGACUCCGACGGGAGGCAGCAGUGGGGAAUAUUGCACAAUGGGCGCAAGCCUGAUGCAGCGACGCCGCGUGAGGGAUGGAGGCCUUCGGGUUGUGAACCUCUUUCGCUCAUGGUCAAGCCGCAACAAUGGUUGUGGUGAGGGUAGUGGGUAAAGAAGCGCCGGCUAACUACGUG
rnacentral:rRNA from 1 species